CAGGGUAUAGUUUAUAGAAAAUAUUAAUUUUGGAGAUUAAUGAAAAGGGUGCAUCUUUACCUUGA
rnacentral:tRNA from 1 species